CGUUAGAUCACCGAAGUCAAGCAUCAUUGGGCGCGGUCAGUACUUGGGUGGGUGACCACCUGGGAACACCACGUGCCGUU